AUUGAACGCUGGCGGCAGGCCUAACACAUGCAAGUCGAACGAGUGGCGGACGGGUGAGUAAUGUCUGGGAAACUGCCCGAUGGAGGGGUCUAACUACUGGAAACGGUAGCUAAUACCGCAUACCAUCGGAUGUGCCCAGAUGGGAUUAGCUAGUGGGGGGGGUAAGGGCUCACCUAGGCGAAGAUCCCUAGCUGGUCUGAGAGGAUGACCGGCCACACUGGAACUGAGACACGGUCCAGACUCCUACGGGAGGCAGCAGUGGGGAAUAUUGCACAAUGGGCGCAAGCCUGAUGCAGCCAUGCCGCGUGUAUGAAGAAGGCCUUCGGGUUGUAAAGUACUUUCAGCGAGGAGGCGUUACUCGCAGAAGAAGCACCGGCUAACUACGUGCCAGCAGCCGCGGUAAUUC
rnacentral:rRNA from 1 species